UCCUCUUACAAACACAUUAUAAUUGCUGAAACAUCUAAAUCAAAUUCAUAUAAACUGUAACAAGAUAACAAAUAAUACAAAUUUUUGAAGAUUUAGUUCGGCUGUUUCAUCACAGGAUUCAACAUGUGGUGGAAAAUCGUGGGAAUGAUGGCUGCUGCCUCCUUUAUAGGGUCUUUCUUGGGAUCCUUGACUGAGCUUUACAUGGCCUACAAGAGUGUGCAGGAAGUCAGUCGAAGAAUGAAAAUGGCGCAAGGGAAAAAGCCUCAAACCCAACAGCCCGGGAGCUUUACAAUGGUCCCUGAAGAGACAACAAGUAAAACAACUUAGAAGUGGCGGAUUUGAUUAAAAUUGAAGAAAAUUCUUA